rnacentral:tRNA from 1 species
GGGAACGUAGUGACUCUGGUCUCGACACUCGUCGAGAUCAAGCAUCGAAUGACUCAAUCAGGGGGUCGCGGGUUCGAAUCCCGCCGUCUCCACCA